GUGUUAGAAGGUUCUCCUGGAGCUGCAGGUGUUAGAAGGUUCACCUGGAGCUGCAGGUGUCUGAAGGUUCUCCUGGAGCUGCAGGUGUUAGAAGGUUCUCCUGGAGCUGCAGGUGUUAGAAGGUUCACCUGGAGCUGCAGGUGUCUGAAGGUUCUCCUGGAGCUGCAGGUGUCUGAACGUUCUCCUGGAGCUGCAGGUGUCUGAAGGUUCUCCUGGAGCUGCAGGUGUUAGAAGGUUCACCUGGAGCUGCAGGUGUCUGAAGGUUCUCCUGGAGCUGCAGGUGUCUGAAGGUUCACCUGGAGCUGCAGGUGUUCCAGGUGUUUCUGGAAACUGUCUGUUCUUGAUUUGUGCCUUUUUAUCAACAGUUGAGUUCUUGAACGUCGCCUGUCUUGAUUGUUUCCAGCAGACCGAACUCUGCUUCGUACACUGGAUGAAUCACAACCUUCAUUCUUCUCAUCAUCUUCAUCUUUGUGUUUGGACACUGUUGCCACGGCAACGACGCAUGACCACUUGCUGUUUCUGAUUAUUUAUCAGUGAUGGGCUGUAUUGGGGAACGAUCAGCAGCGCUCCUGCCGAUGCGAGGACUCGUCCAGCCGUCCUGAUGCCUUCUCCUCCCUCCUACCUUGUAAUUAAGAGAAGACUUUUAUAGAGGUCACAGAUGAAAUAGAUAAAAUGCCAAUUUUGUAAGAAUGAUUUAUAAAAAAAAAAUAAACUCAUAUUUGAUGAUAACUGCAUCUCUGUCCUGUUUGUUAACACACUGGUUUU
ensembl:lncRNA